AUGGGAGGAAGGUUGGGAGGACGUCUGGUCGUCAUGGCCUAAAUAAACUGGGCUACAUACGUGCUACAAUGGUAAUUACAAUGAGAAGCGAAAAUGUGAAUUUAAGCAAAUCUUUUAUAAAAAUUAUCUUAGUUCGGAUUGUUUCUGCAACACGGAAACAUGAAGUGGGAAUCGCUAGUAAUCGCGUAUCAGCAUGAUGCGGUGAAUACUUUACAAACCCUAGUACACACCGCCCGUCACGCGGCGGAAAUUGGCACUGGCAGACAUAAAGCUGGGGGGUUGUUUAGUUUAUUUUUACCCAAACAGUAAU
rnacentral:rRNA from 1 species